rnacentral:rRNA from 1 species
GGGUGACGAGCGGCGGACGGGUGAUAAUGUCUGGGAAACUGCCUGAUGGAGGGGGAUAACUACUGGAAACGGUAGCUAAUACCGCAUAACGUCCCAAGACCGAAGAGGGGGACCUUCGGGCCUCUUGCCAUCAAAUGUGCCCAGAUGGGAUUAGCUAGUAGGUGGGGUAAUGGCUCACCUAGGCGACGAUCCCUAGCUGGUCUGAGAGGAUGACCAGCCACACUGGAACUGAGACACGGUCCAGACUCCUACGGGAGGCAGCAGUGGGGAAUAUUGCACAAUGGGCGCAAGCCUGAUGCAGCCAUGCCGCGUGUGUGAAGAAGGCCUUCGGGUUGUAAAGCACUUUCAGCGAGGAGGAAGGUGGUGAGCUUAAUACGCUCAUCAAUUGACGUUACUCGCAGAAGAAGCACCGGCUAACUCCGUGCCAGCAGCCGCGGUAAUACGGAGGGUGCAAGCGUUAAUCGGAAUUACUGGGCGUAAAGCGCACGCAGGCGGUUUGUUAA